UACGGGGGGGGCAAGCGUUGUUCGGAAUUACUGGGCGUAAAGGGCGCGUAGGCGGCCUACUAAGUCGGACGUGAAAUCCCUCGGCUCAACCGGGGAACUGCGUCCGAUACUGGUGGGCUUGAAUCCGGGAGAGGGAUGUGGAAUUCCAGGUGUAGCGGUGAAAUGCGUAGAUAUCUGGAGGAACACCGGUGGCGAAGGCGACAUCCUGGACCGGUAUUGACGCUGAUGCGCGAAAGCCAGGGGAGCAAACGGG
rnacentral:rRNA from 1 species